UUCGUAGCUAGCUCUGCCUCUGUCCCAAAUGAGUUCAAAUAUAACCAAAAAAGUGCUUUAAAGCUUAUUCAACACAUAACAAAUAAAUACUUAAAGAAAGGGAUAAGACUAAAUUCAUGUUACGGUGAUUGUGAUAAAACUGUAAUAAAUUUUAUAUUUGAAGAAAUAGUAGUUGUUCUUAAUAGUGUUGUGUAUAUAAACUCUAGUACUGCAGCACCUGAAAGUAAUUCUUCCAACAAUGAAUCUCAAGACUGUGACAAUACAGAUAAAAUAUCAAGUACAAGCUUAAAAAUCAUAAAAAAGAUUGCUAGUAAUUUAUUAUUAAAAGGAGGGAAAGUAAGACACGAUCUCUUCUAUCAUGGUAGGAUAGGAUAUGCAACUACUGCAUUUGUUGGUAAUAAUAAUUCUUCUCGAUUUAAUGAGUAUAUCGUUGCACAAUGUAAGGAAAUUAAAAACGAUCUAUAAAAUCUAGCAUACGAGAGUAUUUUAAACAAAAAUAAGCAAACCCAAAAGGAUGAAUUAGAAGUAGAGAUAGAUAAUGGAUAUUUUCAUAUAGAAUAUCCAGAAGAUAGUGUUAUUGAAGUUAUAAAAAUCCUAAACAGUGAAAAAGCUAAAGAUUUAAAUUUAACAGUCGGCAUACUAAAAAUUGGAGAAAGUACAGUAAGAGUUGAAAUCAUAGGGGAAAAAAGGAAUUACACAGACCUUGCGGAUAAUAGUGAUAUAGCAUUGACUUUUAAUACCAGUGAAGGAGAAUUAGAAGUUAGAUUGAAUCCUGAUAUGCGAAAUAAAGACCUAAUAAGGGUAGAAGUAAGGUCUGCUGGAACGAUUAAAAAUUGUAACGAAGAAAUAGGAAAGAAUUGCUUACUAGAAAGUUUAUCAGUUAAUGAAGCCAUCGAACAAGGGUAUUUUAAAGAGCCUGGAAAACUUUGUCAAUCUUCUGAAACAACGAGUCCAUCCAGCAAGAUUGUCGAGGAAGAAAAAUUGCAGAGAGGUAAUAAUUAUUGGCAAGAUAAAAAAGUGCAACGCUCAAUGGAAAAAUAAGAAGGUGGUAAAAGAAGGUAGAUCUACCGAUUUUGAAAAUAAAAUCUCACGGUUAUUAUUUUUAAUUAAGCAAAAGUGGUCAUAGUAUUUAGUGAUAAAAACCAUAAAAAUAUACACCAAUAAAAUAACCUUAUUAGUCAUAAAAAAUAACUUGUCUUGUUAAUCAUUCCGGUUAUUAUAUUAUCUGUGAUAAUAAGAGAUUUUUAUGUUACCAUCAAAAAACGCUAAAAAUUCCUCACACGAACAAAGUGGUCAUUCAACAAGUUCAGGUAAAGCAGAUCGUAAAAUGAGUAAAAAACGGAAGCGUUCUGUUGCAGACAAAGAUGAUACAGUAUCAAAGAAGCUGUGCGUGGAUAUAAAUGUUACUAGUAAUGAAGAUUCAGUAUUUCCUAGUGAUUUACAAGAUGAACCUAGACAGAAUUUGUUUCACGAAGAAAGAAAAUUUGCUAAAAGUGUUGCGGGCAGAGAAGAUACACCUAGGUUUAAUAAGUUCUUAGAUUUUUUAAUUAAUGGAGAAGGAAGAAGAUAUCUAGAAAUUCUGAAAAGAGAAGGAGUAAAUUUAACUAAUAUAUUUAGUAUUUUAGGCAGAGCAGGAGCUAAUGCUUCUAAAGCUUUUGAAGACUUAUAUGACCUUUUGUUUGAUGCAGAAGAAAACAAAACACAGUAUUUAAAAACUCUAGAAGAAGAAGGAAUAAAUCUAUCUAAUAUGUCCAGUAUUUUAGGCAGAGCAGGAGCUAAUGCUGCAAAAGCUUUUAAAGACUUAUAUGACCUUUGGUUUGAUAGAGAAGGAAAUAAAACUCAAUAUUUAAAAACUCUAGAAGAAGAAGGAAUAAAUCUAGCUAAUAUGUCCAAUAUUUUGCAUGGAAUAGGAGCUAAUGCUGCUGCAAACGCUUUUAAAGACUUAUAUGAUCUUUGGUUCGAUGUCGAAGGAAAUAAAACUCAAUAUUUAAAAACUCUAGAAGAAGAAGGAAUAAAUCUAUCUAAUAUGUCCAGUAUUUUAGGUGGAUCGGGAGCUAAAGCUCCUAAAGCCUUUAAAGAAUUAUACGAUCUUUGGUUCGAUGAAGAAGGAAAUAAAACUCAAUAUUUAAAAACUCUAGAAGAAGAAGGAAUAAAUCUAUCUAAUAUGUCCAGUAUUUUAGGCGGAUCGGGAGCUAAUGCUUCUAAAACCUUUAAAGAAUUAUACGAUCUUUGGUUCGAUGGAAAAGGAAAUAAAACUCAAUAUUUAAAAACUCUAGAAGAAGAAGGAAUAAAUUUAGUUAAUAUGUCCAGUAUUUUGAACGGGGUAGGAACUAAUGCUGCAAACGCUUUUAACGAACUAUAUGAUACUUUUUUUGAUAAGCAAGGAAAAAAACAAUAUUUAAAGGCUCUAGAAGAAAAAGGGAUAAAUCUAGCUAAUAUAUCCAGUAUUUUAGACGGAGCGGGAGCUAAAGCUUCUAAAGCUUUUAAAGACUUAUAUGAUCUUUGGUUCGAUGGAAAAGGAAAUAAAACUCAAUAUUUAAAAACUCUAGAAGAAGAAGGAAUAAAUCUAUCUAAUAUGUCCAGUAUUUUAGGUGGAUCGGGAGCUAAAGCUCCUAAAGCCUUUAAAGAAUUAUACGAUCUUUGGUUCGAUGAAGAAGGAAAUAAAACUCAAUAUUUAAAAGCUCUAGAAGAAGAAGGAGUAAAUAUAUCUAAUAUGUCUAGUAUUUUGAAUGGAGCAGGAAUUAAUGCUGCAAAAGCUUUUAAAGACUUAUACGAUCUUUGGUUCGAUGGAGAAGGAAAUAAAACACAAUAUUUAAAAACUCUAGAAGAAGAGGGAAUAAAUCUAUCCAAUAUAUCAAGUGUUUUAAGUGGAUCAGGAGCUAAAGCUGCAAACGCUUUUAAAGGCUUACAUAAUCUUUGGUUCGGUGCAGAAGAAAAUCAAACUCAAUAUUUAAAAAUUCUAGAAAAAGAAGGGAUAAAUCUAGCUAGUAUAUCCAGUAUUUUAAGUGGAGCAGGAGCUAACGCUCCCAAAGCCUUUAAAGACUUGUAUGAUUUUUGGUUUGAUGCAGAAGGCACUAAAACACAAAAUUUAAAAACUCUAGAAGAAGAAGGAAUAAAUCUAACUAAUAUGUCUAGUAUUCUGCAUGGAGCAGGAACUAAUGCUACAAAGGCUUUUAAAGUACUAUAUAAUACUUUUGUUGAUGAGCAAGGAAAAAAAACACGACAUUUAAAGCAUUUUAUUGAGAAAAAAGAUAAGGAAGAAAGUUUUACGCCGCACAACUUAUCUGGUAUAUUAAGUGGAGCAGGAGCUAAGACUAAAGACGCUUUUAAAAAAUUACAUAGUGUUUGUUUUAAUGACAAAGGAAAAAGAACAGAACUUUUAGAUGAUUUCUAUAAUGCAGGUUUUAGGCCAGGUAACUUAUCCUGUGUGUUAUGUGGAGCAGGAAUUCGUGCUUCUUCUAUUUUAAAAAGAUUGCAUAGUGUUUGUUUCAAUGAAAAAAGAGAAAAAACAAAACUUUUAGAUGAUUUCUAUAAUGCAGAUUUUAGUCUGGAUGAUUUAUGCAGUGCAUUGGCUGCAGCAGCAGAUAGUUUAGAAAAAUUUCAUGAUUUUUGUUUUAUAGGUGAAACAAAAAAGUAUUUAAAUCAUUUCUUAAAAGAAGGUUUCACGCCGAAAAAUUUAUCUAAGAUAUUGCACGGCGCAAGAGCUAAGAUUUGUUCUGCUUUAGAAGAUUUUCAUGAUGUUUGUUUUGAUGAGACAGGAAACAAAACACAGCUUUUAGAUGAUUUCUAUAAGGCAGGUUUUAAGCCGAGUUAUUUAUCCGGUAUAUUAUCCAUGGCAGGAAAUAAUGCCUCUUAUAUUUUAAGAGAUUUUCAUAAAUCUUGUUUUAACAAAGAAAAUUAUUUAAACCACUUCUUAGCCGAGAAAAAACUCUUUACGCCAAAAAAUUUAUCUAAGGUACUAGAUAGAGUAGGACUUAAUAUUCGUCUUAUAUUUGAAAAAUUACAUGAUCUUUGUUUUGAUGUUAAAGGAAAUAAAACACACUAUUUUAGUGAUCUUAUCAACGCAAAUCAUAAGCCGAGUAAGUUACUCAGUAUAUUGUAUAAGGCAGCUAUAGGCAUUAGUGGGAUAGAAGAAGACAAAACAAAUGAUACAGGUUCUAAACUGAGUAAUUUAUUCGAUAGAACGAAGCAAGAACAAAAUUUAGAUAGUUUACAACAAGGCGGUUCUAAAGUUAAGAGAAAAACCCGGAAGGGUAUCACUAACCAAAGUAAGAACAAAUAAGAUGAUAAAAUUUCAAAUUCAGUAGCAGGAAGCUCUUGCAGCUCAAGAGAUUUAUCCCCAAAACAAACACAGUCAGUGCACCAUAACCAGUAUACCCACAAAGUAAAGGAUGUGCUACUCAGAUGUAUCCGUUCAGCCAAUGGCGUCAACUUAAGGGAAAGUAUCAGUGAUUGUGUAUAAAACUUCUCUCUAAAUUUUUUACCAUUAAAUUACCCAAAAGCUGCAAUAAACAGCACCUUUGUUUCUGUUUUAUUUCAACAAAGAAGUCUAAAAUAUGUCCUUUUUAGGCGAAACAUGCAAAAAGGAAAAAAUCUUAUUCUACAAAUUAAAAAUAUAGUAUACUCGAAAGCUUUUCAGAGAAUCCAUUGUGUUGAGUUUUACACGAACAAGAAAACUUUCUUUUACUACAGUAUUUUCUAUGAUUUUAAAGUUAAUUAAGAAACGUUUAGGAUAAUGACUCAUUGAAUUGACACAUAUUCUGACGCUCAUGGGUUAUAUUAUGUUUAUUGUGAUUGAGUUUGUUUCGCUCUCAGCCAACUAUGGCGCUGUAAGUUUCUCUGUGUUGACAACAUAACCAUCUAGUGUGAAAAAUUAGCCCUCAGAUUCAUUGUUCACAAGUGUACAUACCACUACAUACAAGCAUCUGUCUAGUGGUUUGACGCAGCAGCAGCGCUGCUUAUUAAGGCCGUAUUCGAAAAUUGACUGACAGCACUGUCAGCAAUCCUUUAUCUCUUUUGCGCCUUUAAGUUCGCGAAUAGCUCUGACUCUGUCCUAGGGAAUUUUCAGUGCUGUCAGUCAAUUUACGAACACGGCCUAAAUGUUUUGCGUUUGCUGCUCUACUGUUUGGAUGAAUAAACUUCAAGCAGCAAAAACUUCCGCCGGAAGUGCUAGUAACUUUCAGUGAAUUGCUGCUGCUCCCAAUUUUGUGCUGCCCACGAAAUCACAGCCUAAUAAUACUGGCACUAUCACUUGUAUGCCUAGAAAUAUAGCUGACUUUCCGGAGAGAGAGAUAGCAUAGCAGGGAAGUAUCGUCUCUCUCGCACCGAUACAGUCUUGGUGUAGACACUCUAGUGUAUUUAGG